CAGCACCUCAAGUGGUCAGGAUGAUUAUUGGGCCUAAAGCAUCCGUAGCCGGCGCUGUAAGUUUUCGGUUAAAUCUGUACGCUCAGCGUACAGGCUGCCGGGAAUACUGCAGCGCUAGGGAGUGGGAGGGGUAGACGGUACUCGGUAGGAAGGGGUAAAAUCCUUUGAUCUAUUGAUGACCACCUGUGGCGAAAGCGGUCUACCAGAACACGUCCGACGGUGAGGGAUGAAAGCUGGGGGAGCAAACCGGAUUAGAUACCCGAGUAGUCC
rnacentral:rRNA from 1 species